rnacentral:rRNA from 1 species
GGGUGCGAUCAUACCAGCGUUAAUGCACCGGAUCCCAUCAGAACUCCGCAGUUAAGCGCGCUUGGGCUAGAGUAGUACUGGGAUGGGUGACCUCCCAGGAAGUCCUAGUGUUGCACCCU